rnacentral:rRNA from 1 species
GAUGAACGCUAGCGGCAGGCUUAAUACAUGCAAGUCGAGGGGCAGCGCAGUGUAGCAAUACAUGGGCGGCGACCGGCAAACGGGUGCGGAACACGUACGCAACUUACCCAAAACUGAUGAAUAGCCCUCCGAAAGGAGGAUUAAUACAUCGUAACAUCUUGUAGUGGCAUCACUGUAAGAUUAUAGCUCCGGCGGUUUUGGAUGGGCGUGCGGCUGANAGGUAGUUGGUGUAGGUAACGGCUCACCAAGCCUGCGAUCAGUAACUGGUGUGAGAGCACGACCAGUCACACGGGCACUGAGACACGGGCCCGACUCCUACGGGNGGCAGCAGUAAGG